GGGUGCGAUCCUACCAGCACUAAUGCACCGGAUCCCAUCAGAACUCCGCAGUUAAGCGUGCUUGGGCGAGAGUAGUACUAGGAUGGGGUGACCUCCUGGGAAGUCCUCGUGUUGCACCCC